rnacentral:rRNA from 1 species
GUGCUGAUUUGAAGUGCUUACUGCAUUUUUUCUUACACAUGUGUUUUUCUUUUUUUGAAAACUUUGCUUUGGUAGGCCUUCUAUAUGGGGCCUGCCAGAGAUUAAACUCAACCAAAUUUUAUUUAAUGUCAACCGAUUAUUUAAUAGUCAAAACUUUCAACAACGGAUCUCUUGGUUCUCGCAUCGAUGAAGAACGCAGCGAAAUGCGAUAAGUAAUAUGAAUUGCAGAUAUUCGUGAAUCAUCGAAUCUUUGAACGCACAUUGCGCCCUUUGGUAUUCCAAAGGGCAUGCCUGUUUGAGCGUCAUUUCUCCCUCAAACCCUCGGGUUUGGUGUUGAGCGAUACGCUGGGUUUGCUUGAAAGAAAGGCGGAGUAUAAACUAAUGGAUAGGUUUUUUCCACUCAUUGGUACAAACUCCAAAACUUCUUCCAAAUUCGACCUCAAAUCAGGUAGGACUACCCGCUGAACUUAAGCAUAUCAAUAAGGCGGGAGGAA